rnacentral:lncRNA from 1 species
GAGAGUGAGAUUGAAGCAUUUAUCUCGCCAACUUCUGCCCGGUGGGCUUGUCGUGGUUGGCUGAAGCCCUCUGCCAAAGGCCACAGCUGUUGUAGAAGCCAGGAAGAGUUUUGUAUUAUUACCACAUAGCACACUUGAGAAAGCCUCAGGGAUGUGAAACACCUUGCCUGAAGUGACAUACUUUGUAAACGGGAGGGCAGGACUCCAUGGGAGGCCCUCUGGCUCAGCUCUCCUGCCCCUUGCUAUGCUGAACUCUGUUGGAUUACCUCUGCGAGUCUCACACGUAUGGAUUCACAGCCCCCUUUUCAUAAAAAUACUUGGCAAACCUCUUGACUUUCUUGAAAUGAAAUUAAU